UUUUUUAAAAUAUAUUUUUUGAAAUCCAAGUGAGUGCUCCCGUUUCCUGUUUUGUUUAUAUAUAUAUAUAUAUAUAUAUAUAUAUUUUUUUUUUUAAUUGGGUAGCACCCAAAAUAUUGGGACAUAUAAAAAAAGACAGAGUAGCUGUUGACAUUAUAGUUGUGCAGGAACUUUGUUGACUCUAGAGAGGGCAAAUCGCACAUCCCCGUGGCGGCGACUUUGCAUGCGGAUGUCAUCCAUAUCAACUUUGGAUGCCAGUUUCUGCACCUACCAUGGUGACCAUGGGUAACGGGGAAUCAGGGUUCCUGUCCAUACAGGAAACGGCUACCACAUGCAAGGAAGGCAGCAGGUGCGCAAAUGACCCACUCGUGACGCGGGAAGGUAGUGACGACAAAUAACAAUACAGGACUCUUUAGAGGCCAUGUAAUUGUAAUGAGUCCACUAGAAAACCUUUAACUCUGAUCAAUCGGAGGGAAGUCUGGUGCAGAGCCACUGACCCGUGCGUGCUGCAGCUGAA